AUGAGGGGAAAUAGACCCACGCCAUCAGCCAAAAAGCCGACCAAAGUCCUCACCCUCAUGAAAACUCAGACUAGCCAAAGAGACAAAACUCAACGAGAUAAAAUUAGGCCGGGUGCGGUGGCUCACACCUCUAAUUCCAGCACUUUCGGAGGCUGAGGCAGGCAAAUCACUUGAGGUCAGGAGUUCGAGACCAGCCUGGCCAAUAUGGUGAAACCCCAUCUCUACUAAAAAUACAAAAAUUAACUGGGUGUGAUGGUGGGUGCCUCUAAUUCCAGCUACUCGGGAGGCUGAGGCAGGAGAAUCGCUUGAACCCAGGAGGCAGAGGUUGCAGUGAGUUGAGAUCGUGCCCCUGCACACCAGCCUGGGAGACAGAGUGAGACUCCAUUUCAAAAACAAGAAACAACAACAAUGACAAAAACAACAAAAAAAAGUACAAUUAAGCAGGAAAAUGAGCUAAAAAAUGGCAGGAAGGGAGUGGCCAUUUUAGAUGGGUGGGUAGGGAAGGCCAGCCUUUCACUGAAAUUUUGUAAUGUGGGAAGGUAAAAUAAGAUCCUAGAGGUUUUCAGAGAGAGAGAGAGAGAGAGAGAGAGAGAGAGAAAAACAAAACAAAAAAUGGACUGUGGAUUUUUCUAUAGUAAAAGUGGUUACUGGGAGAAAAUAGAACAGUGCCACUGAAAAGUGAAAAUCCUUCCUGAAUUAGUUUGCUUGGGCUGCAUAAUAACAUACCACAGACUCGAUGACUUAAACAAUAGACAUUUGUUUUCUCAAAGUUCUGAAGGCUGGAAGUCCAAGAUCAAGGGGCGCACUAGAUUAGUUUCUCCCCAGGCUUCUUUCCUUGACUUGCAAAGGUGACUUUCUCACUGUGUCUCCAUAUGGCCUUUUGUCUGUGAGUGGAGAGAGAGAGAGAGGGAGAUCUGGUGUCUCUUCCUCUUUUUUUUUUUUUGAGACAAGAUCUUGCCCUGUUGCCCAGGCUGGAGUGCAGUGACAUGAUCAUAGCUCACGGCAGCCUCCAACUCCUGAGCUCAAGUGAUGCUCCUGCCUCAGCCUCCUGAGCAGCUGUGACCACAGGGGUGUGCCACCAUGCCCAGCUAUUUUUUUUUUUCAUAGAGUUGGGGUCUUGCUAUGUUGCCCAGGCUGGUCUGGAACUUCUGGGCUCUAGCGAUCCUCCCGUCUCAGCCUCCCAAAGUGCUGGGAUUACAGCCAUGAGCCACCAUGCGUGGCCUCUUCCUCUUUUUUAUUUUUUUUUUGAGACGGAGUCUCACUCUGUUGCUCAGGCUGUAGUAUAGUGGUGUGAUCUCCGUUUGCUGCAACCUCUGCCUGCUGGGUUCAAGCGAUUCUCCUGCCUCAUCCUCCUGAGUAGCUGAGACUACAGGCAUGCACCACGAUGCUUGGCUGAUUUUUUGUAUUUUUAGUAGAGAUUGGGUUUCACCAUGCUGGCCAGGCUGGUUUUGAACUCCUGACCUUGUGAUCUGCCUGCCUCAGCCUCCCGAAGUGUUGGGAUUACAGGCAUGAGCCACUGUGCCCAGCCCGCUUCCUCUUUUUAUAAGGGCACCAGCCCUGUGAGAUUAGACUUCAUUCUUACAUAACCUCACUUAAUCUUAAUUACCUCCUUAAAGGCUCGAUCUCUAAAUAAAGUCACAUUGGGAGUUAGAGCUUCAACAUAUGGAUUUGGGGGAACACAAUUCAGUCCAUAACUCCCAACAGAAUUUUUUGUAGCAAGAUUUAUUUUGACAUACUUGGACUUUAAACAAAAUUUAAAAAAUUGAUACAUAACUGAAUUUAUAGGGCACUGGGUAGCGUUUCAAUAUAUGCAUACAAUGUAUAGUGCUCAAAUCAGGGUAAUUAGCAUGUCCGUCGCCUCAAAGAGUUAUCAUUUCUUGGUGUUGGGAACAUUCAAAAUCCACUCUUCAAGCUAUUUGAAAAUAUACAAUAAAUAGUGUUAUGGAAAAUAUACAAUAAGUAAUUUAAUUAUAGUCACCUGGCUGGGCAAUGUGGCUCAUGCCUGUAAUCCCAGCACUUUGGGAGGCUGAGGUGGGCGGAUUGCCUGAGCUCAGGAGUUUGAGACUAGCCUGGGCAACCCCAUCUCUACAAAAAAAUACAAACAAUUAGCUGGAUGUGGUGGCAUAUGCCUGUGGUCCUAGCUACUUGGGAGUCUGAGGUGGGAGGAUCGCUUGAGCCCAGGAGGUUGAGGCUGCAGUGAGCCAAGAUUGCACCACUGCUCUCCAGCCUGGGUGACAGAAUCAGACCCCGUCUCAAAACUAAACUAAACUAAACUAAACUAAACUAAACUAAACUAAACUAAAAUAAUUAUAGUCACCCAUAGGGCUGUAGAACACUUAUUCCUCCUAUUUCGCUGUACUUUCACAUCCAUUAACCAACCUUUGGCCAUCCCUCCUUCCUCCCACCCUUUCUAGCCUCUAGUAACCCCUGUUAUACUCUUUACUUUAUGAGAUCAAAUAUUUUAGCUUCCACACAGGAGUGAGACCAUGCAGUAUUUGUCUUUCUGUGCAUGGCUUAUUUCACUUAACACAACGUCCUCCAAGCUCAUCCACGGUGCCACAAAUGACAGAAUUUUGUUAUUUUUAAUUUCUAAAGAGUGUUUCGAUGGAAUUUAAUCCAUUCCCCAUUUAGAAAAAAAAAAAGUGCAAGUCACUCCAUGUAGCAUUAUUGGGGCAGACGGGAAAUGGGUUAAAGAUAUGUAAUAAUACGUGCAACUAUUUAUUGUUUUAUCUACUCCUGUUAUAUAUUUUGAAUCUGUGUCAAGCUUGCUUGCUUUAUUUAUUUAUUU
ensembl:lncRNA